rnacentral:rRNA from 1 species
UACGUAGGGUGCAAGCGUUGUCCGGGAUUAUUGGGCGUAAAGAGCUCGUAGGCGGUUUGUCGCGUCGAAUGUGAAAACCCGGGGCUCAACCCCGGGCCUGCAUUCGAUACGGGCAGACUAGAGUUCGGUAGGGGAGUCUGGAAUUCCUGGUGUAGCGGUGAAAUGCGCAGAUAUCAGGAGGAACACCGGUGGCGAAGGCGGGACUCUGGGCCGAUACUGACGCUGAGGAGCGAAAGCGUGGGGAGCGAACAGG